rnacentral:rRNA from 1 species
GACGAACGCUGGCGGCGUGCUUAACACAUGCAAGUCGAACGGAAAGGCCCUGCUUUUGUGGGGUGCUCGAGUGGCGAACGGGUGAGUAACACGUGAGUAACCUGCCCUUGACUUUGGGAUAACUUCAGGAAACUGGGGCUAAUACCGGAUAGGAGCUCCUGCUGCAUGGUGGGGGUUGGAAAGUUUCGGCGGUUGGGGAUGGACUCGCGGCUUAUCAGCUUGUUGGUGGGGUAGUGGCUUACCAAGGCUUUGACGGGUAGCCGGCCUGAGAGGGUGACCGGCCACAUUGGGACUGAGAUACGGCCCAGACUCCUACGGGAGGCAGCAGUGGGGAAUAUUGCACAAUGGGCGGAAGCCUGAUGCAGCAACGCCGCGUGCGGGAUGACGGCCUUCGGGUUGUAAACCGCUUUCGCCUGUGACGAAGCGUGAGUGACGGUAAUGGGUAAAGAAGCACCGGCUAACUACGUGCCAGCAGCCGCGGUGAUACGUAGGGUGCGAGCGUUGUCCGGAUUUAUUGGGCGUAAAGGGCUCGUAGGUGAUUGAUCGCGUCGGAAGUGUAAUCUUGGGGCUUAACCCUGAGCGUGCUUUCGAUACGGGUUGACUUGAGGAAGGUAGGGGAGAAUGGAAUUCCUGGUGGAGCGGUGGAAUGCGCAGAUAUCAGGAGGAACACCAGUGGCGAAGGCGGUUCUCUGGGCCUUUCCUGACGCUGAGGAGCGAAAGCGUGGGGAGCGAACAGGCUUAGAUACCCUGGUAGUCCACGCUGUAAACGGUGGGUACUAGGUGUGGGGUCCAUUCCACGGGUUCCGUGCCGUAGCUAACGCUUUAAGUACCCCGCCUGGGGAGUACGGCCGCAAGGCUAAAACUCAAAGGAAUUGACGGGGCCCCGCACAAGCGGCGGAGCAUGCGGAUUAAUUCGAUGCAACGCGUAGAACCUUACCUGGGUUUGACAUGGAUCGGGAGUGCUCAGAGAUGGGUGUGCCUCUUUUGGGGUCGGUUCACAGGUGGUGCAUGGCUGUCGUCAGCUCGUGUCGUGAGAUGUUGGGUUAAGUCCCGCAACGAGCGCAACCCUUGUUCACUGUUGCCAGCACGUUAUGGUGGGGACUCAGUGGAGACCGCCGGGGUCAACUCGGAGGAAGGUGGGGAUGACGUCAAGUCAUCAUGCCCCUUAUGUCCAGGGCUUCACGCAUGCUACAAUGGCUGGUACAGAGAGUGGCGAGCCUGUGAGGGUGAGCGAAUCUCGGAAAGCCGGUUUCAGUUCGGAUUGGGGUCUGCAACUCGACCUCAUGAAGUCGGAGUCGCUAGUAAUCGCAGAUCAGCAACGCUGCGGUGAAUACGUUCCCGGGGCU